CCGCCGCCGGGAUGAUUUUCUCUUUCGGCUCUCCGCGAUCCUCUGACAAUUGGAAUCUUUUGUUUUUUAUUUACGAGAAAGGAAACAACCACGAUUAAUAUUACCGUCACUGUACACUUUUUUUUUUUUAAAUUUGGCAUCGUUGAGCGGCGAAGAAGAAGAGGAGGAGGAUGAUGAUGAUGAUGAUGAUGAUGACGAUGAUAUGCGCGAAACGAUUUCGCGGGCCGAAGUUCGCUACUCACGCCAGCAUGCGCUCGACUUCGGCGCGCUGCUCGGCGGCCUCCUCGGUGUCGAGCGACUGCAGCUCCUUGAGGAUGGGCGGCGUGUCGUAGUCGUCGCCGUCCUCCGAGCCCUCGUCGCCGGACAGCUUGGCGGCGGGCUUGCCGUCGCCGUCCCGACGCGG